AAUAAGUGUAUCGCACAAAGUGAAGGCAUUUGAAUAAUUGUAUAGCAUAAACUAAAAGCAUUUGAGGGUACUGCUCAUUAAAAGUAUAUGACAUCCAACAGUGAUACUCCUGUUUCUUCAGCCAAAGAAUCACGCCAAAAGAUAAUGUAACAUUAAAACAAAGCUUCACUGCUAUUACGCCAAAGAAGCCAUACUAGAGCUCGUCUAUCCGUCGGAUCUUCAGCGCUCGAAAGUAGACUUCUUCAGCUGAGGAAUCACCACAAAAAGAUAAUUCAACAUUAAAAUAAAGCUUGACCGCUAGUACGCCAAAGAAGCCAUGCUAGAGCUCGCCUAUUCGUUGGAUGUUCAUGGCGUAGUUGUUGAGAAUUGAGAAUUCAUGUCGGGCUUGGAUUGCUGCCGAUGCAGCAAAAUAUGAAGCCAGUUGCAAGUUUAACAGCCUAUUCAUCGGAUCUUCAUGGUCUAAAAGUAAUUGUUAAGAAGUGAGAAUUCGUAUCGGGUUCGGAUUGCCUCCGAUGCAGCAAAAUAUGAGACCGGUUGCACGGUGUUUUGGAGUCCUCUUCCAUGGAGGAUGUGAACUAGAGGAUGAAGAUGUAAGGGUGGUCAUAUGUCUAUGUCUUUUUUUAGAAUUUAAUAAAUGAUGUUUGCUCAAAAUAAAUGUGGGAUGGAUAGAUUACAAUUCAUGUUUGUUGAAAAUUAGGUUAGGUGUUUGUUGAAAAAUAGGUUAGGAAUUUGUUGAAAAUAAAUGCUCUAAAGGACUGUAGACCCUAGUAUACAGUUGAAAUGAUGUAAUAUUAAUACACACUAGAAAAAAUGGCUUUGGUAUUUAAUUCCUCUUAUUUUUGGUUGGGGACUUCAUGAUC
rnacentral:lncRNA from 1 species